CCUACGGGAGGCAGCAGUGGGGAAUAUUGCACAAUGGGGGAAACCCUGAUGCAGCGACGCCGCGUGAGUGAAGAAGUAUUUCGGUAUGUAAAGCUCUAUCAACAGGGAAGAAGAAAGACGGUACCUGACUAAGAAGCCCCGGCUAACUACGUGCCAGCAGCCGCGGUACUACGUAGGGGGCAAGCGUUAUCCGGAUUUACUGGGUGUAAAGGGAGCGUAGACGGCUGUGCAAGUCUGAAGUGAAAGCCCAGGGCUCAACCCUGGGACUGCUUUGGAAACUGUGGAUCUAGAGUGCUGGAGAGGUAAGUGGAAUUCGUAGUGUAGCGGUGAAAUGCGUAGAUAUUAGGAGGAACACCAGUGGCGAAGGCGGCUUACUGGACAGUAACUGACGUUGAGGCUCGAAAGCGUGGGGAGCAAACAGGAUUAGAUACCCUAGUAGUC
rnacentral:rRNA from 1 species